UUGUGUGUGGUGAUUAGGCAGUGUAUUGUUAGUUAGCUGUUCUCCACACAGCAGCAACUGACUACACUGCCACAUUAGCACAUCACUG
rnacentral:pre_miRNA from 1 species